rnacentral:lncRNA from 10 species
GCUAAACACAUGGAGGUUCCUGGAGGGUGGUGCACCCAGGGAUGGCAUGGGACCUUUGCACCCCUUCCUUCAUACCUCUCCCUAUGCAUCUCUUCACCUGUAUCCUUUCUAAUAUUCUUCAUACUAAACAGUGACAGUAUAUUGUCCAUUCCAGUUGAAGAAAGAAAUGUAAUGUGGUAAAUAUCCAAGAAACCUUGGACAGAAGAGCCAGAUUAGUCCACGGGCAUCAGCACAUUCCACACCUUAUUUCUUAUUGACUAGUAUCAGAUGAACUCAGUAGUCCAUAAAUCACAGAAGACUUUUGGAGUUCAGCCAUUUUCCAAGAAACAGCGAAGUAAAGGCUGUGGGAGCCAACUGACUUGGCCAAAGCGUAAAGCUCGUAAAUGUCAAUUAGCCCACAAGAACAAGCAUUUUGUGCCACCAAGCAUGGGUAUGUCAACUUUAGCAGUGCAGAGAACUCUUCCAACAAGUUUAAACAGGAUUGCAAGAGUGGAAGUAGGAAGAUUGGGUUGUCAAAGACAGUCAUUCAGGAAAGAGACUAUGUGGCUUAGAUUCUACAAAUAGAACGUUCUACUUUCGGACAGUAAAAGUUGAGUCUUAACUGUUUUUCCACAGCAUCUGUAUACAAGCAUUUUGAGUAAAGCAACUUCCCUUAUGAUCUAUAUGAAAAGGUCUUUGUGACCCUUUUUAAACAUCCAAUCUAUUUAAUCUCUGUGUCACAUGUAAAUCUGGUAUGUUUAUGGGUCAAAGUCACAGAACAGGAUUCUAGAGCUGGUGAGAGACCAUAUGGUAUAUUCUUUGCCUCAGCCUGGCUAUACUCAGAACCUUUCAGUCCAUAUGUGUCUACUUAAAAAAUUUUUCUAAUAACUUUAUUUAGAUAUGGUUUAUAUGACACAAAAUUCACCUAUUUGAAGUGUUGAAUUCAAUGGUUUUUAGUGUAUUCACAGAUGGGUGCAACUGUCACCUCAAGCUAGAUUAUUUUUAUCAACCCCAAAGAAAUUGUAUAUCCAUUAGCAGUUUACUCCCCAUUUUUCAUAUCCCCAGAUAUAGGUAAAUAUUCACCUACUUCCUCUUUUUCUGAAUUUUUUUAUUCUAUAAAUUUUAUAUAAAUAUAAUAAUAAAAUAUGUGGCUUUGUGUG